rnacentral:lncRNA from 1 species
AAUUCUUAUAUCACCAGUUUCUUAAUGAAAAGUUGUCAUAUACGUCUAAAUCAUAGAUCAAUUCCCUUCAAAACUAAAGAUAAAUGGGAUGCAAAUAUUUACCUCAACAAAAAAUAUCAAUGGUAGAGAAUUUAAGAGAUACAUAAGAAGUGAGUAACAGAGCGCCAGAAACAGUAUUAGAGAUCCUGAAACCGUGAAAGUAUUAAUUAAAUGAGAGUGACAUGGUUUACGUAAACCAGAAUCGUUAGAUUUAAUUGAUGUAAACCGAGUCAAAGCCUAUAUAUAAAGCAGAGUCUUGGAACAUCAACUAUCCUGUGUUUUAUCUGUGGACAACCAAAAUAAGUCGGUUUGACAAAUUAGGGAUCAAAAAUCAAACUAGUAAAGGCCCAUUGGAAAACGGGAACACGAGUUUCGUUGGAUAAAUAGAAUAGUAGCCUAGGGUUCUUCGGUUGUCACGAGGAAUUUCCGUUUCCUUGUAUUUCAAGCUAGCGUUAGACCUCCACAAGUCGUUCGUUGUUCUCCGCUUCUUAUUUCAAACCCUAAGUACUCAUUCGCGUUACCCACUCCUCUUCUUUUCUUUGAACCUCAAGGUUUUAAAGAGAAAGACUUUGUUGCAUAAUGACACCAACACAUGAUUUGUACCACAGCUUGCCAUAUUGAACUGAGACCAACAGAACACAUUUGACGUUUAUGAACAGAGACUAUAAUGACCUUUCUGUGAUAGCCUCUUCAUAGUAUUCAUGUGACAGCCUCUUCAUAUGAUCCAUGAUUGCAUUGCAGGCCUGAACCCUUUUUAACCCCCAAAAAUAUUAAUCACCCACUUGAAAACCAAGCUAGGUUCUGGAAGUUUACUCCACCACCAAAUCGUUAAGUUUCUCAUUUGUUGGAAGAAUUGGAAUGAGAACAAAUCGAUCUUCAUCUCUCAAUUCUCAUAUCACCAGUUUCUUAAUGAAAAGUUGUCAUAUACGUCUAAAUCAUAGAUCAAUUCCCUUCAAAACUAAAGAUAAAUGGGAUGCAAAUAUUUACCUCAACAAAAAAUAUCAAUGGUAGAGAAUUUAAGAGAUACAUAAGAAGUGAGUAACAGAGCGCCAGAAACAGUAUUAGAGAUCCUGAAACCGUGAAAGUAUUA